rnacentral:SRP_RNA from 1 species
CCGUGCUAAGUGGGGAGGUAGCGGUGCCCUAUACCCGCAAUCCGCUCUAGCGGGACCGAAUUCCUUUCCUGAGGCUGUCUAUUUGUAGGGUCUGCCUCAAGUAAGUGGUGUUGACGUUUGGGUCCUACGCAAUGAGAAUCCAUGAAUCAUGUCAGGUCCGGAAGGAAGCAGCAUUAAGUGGAACCUCUCAUGUGCCGUAGGGUUGCCUGAACUGAGCUAACUGCUUGGGUAACGCCUAUGAGUAGCAGUCGACGGAUAGGUGCACGG